rnacentral:rRNA from 1 species
GAUGAACGCUAGCGGCAGGCUUAAUACAUGCAAGUCGAGGGGCAGCGGGGUAGCAAUACCUGCCGGCGACCGGCAAACGGGUGCGGAACACGUACACAACCUUCCUUUAAGCGGGGGAGUAGCCCAGAGAAAUUUGGAUUAAUACCCCAUAGAAUGUUAGUGAGGCAUCUCACAGGCAUUAAAGAUUUAUCACUUGAAGAUGGGUGUGCGUCUGAUUAGGUAGUUGGCGGGGAACGGCCCACCAAGCCAGCGAUCAGCAACUGGUGUGAGAGCACGACCAGUCACACGGGCACUGAGACACGGGCCCGACUCCUA